rnacentral:rRNA from 1 species
CCUACGGGAGGCAGCAGUCGAGAAUCAUUCACAAUGGGGGAAACCCUGAUGGUGCGACGCCGCGUGGGGGAAUGAAGGUCUUCGGAUUGUAAACCCCUGUCAUGUGGGAGCAAAUUAAAAAGAUAGUACCACAAGAGGAAGAGACGGCUAACUCUGUGCCAGCAGCCGCGGUAAUACAGAGGUCUCAAGCGUUGUUCGGAAUCACUGGGCGUAAAGCGUGCGUAGGCUGUUUCGUAAGUCGUGUGUGAAAGGCGCGGGCUCAACCCGCGGACGGCACAUGAUACUGCGAGACGAGAGUAAGGGAGGGGGAACCGGAAUGCUCGGUGUAGCAGUGAAAUGCGUAGAUAUCGAGAGGAACACUCGUGGCGAAGGCGGGUUCCUGGACAUUAACUGACGCUGAGGCACGAAGGCCAGGGGAGCGAAAGGGAUUAGAUACCCCAGUAGUC